GGAGGGAUGGCAGAGCGGUUGAAUGCGACAGUCUUGAAAACUGUUGAGCCUUAACGGGUUCCCAGGGUUCGAAUCCCUGUCCCUCCG
rnacentral:tRNA from 1 species